rnacentral:rRNA from 1 species
UACGAAGGGAGCUAGCGUUGUUCGGAAUCACUGGGCGUAAAGCGCACGUAGGCGGCCAACUAAGUCAGACGUGAAAUCCCUCAGCUUAACUGGGGAACUGCGUCUGAUACUGGGUGGCUUGGAUCCGGGAGAGGGAUGCGGAAUUCCAGGUGUAGCGGUGAAAUGCGUAGAUAUCUGGAGGAACACCUGCGGCGAAGGCGGGUUGCUGGGCCGACACUGACGCUGAGGCGCGAAAGCCAGGGGAGCGAACGGG